rnacentral:tRNA from 1 species
GGGGAUGUAACUCAAGUGGUAGAGCACUCGCUUUGCAUGCGAGAGGUACGGGGUUCGAUAUCUCGCAUCUCCA